rnacentral:rRNA from 1 species
UACGUAGGGUGCAAGCGUUAAUCGGAAUUACUGGGCGUAAAGCGUGCGCAGGCGGUUUUGUAAGUCUGUCGUGAAAUCCCCGGGCUUAACCUGGGAAUGGCGAUGGAGACUGCAAGGCUAGAGUGUGUCAGAGGGGGGUAGAAUUCCACGUGUAGCAGUGAAAUGCGUAGAGAUGUGGAGGAACACCGAUGGCGAAGGCAGCCCCCUGGGAUAACACUGACGCUCAUGCACGAAAGCGUGGGGAGCAAACAGG